ensembl:lncRNA
CACCCAAGUACAUUGAAAACACUAUGCUUACUUUUUAAUUUUGUCCCCCAUAUCAUGGCACAAAACCCGCUCUCCAGUUUCAAUUCUUUGAUUAUUGCAGCAGCAAUAGUUAAGAGACAACAAAACUUCAAAAAGGGAUGUAAAUAUUCUGAUCCCUUCCCACUGAUUGCAGCCAAGAAGCAUAUAUCAGUCACCUAUGGAACACUGCACAUUGGUGACUGUUGUUUGGCACAAAAAGAGGAAACAAGCCCACGAGGAAGGAGCUUGCUGCGGACAUAUCCGAGUGAGGGAGAAAGGGGUCAGGGCUGGAAGGGAAGACCAUAAUCACACUGCAGGGCUCUGGUCCCUGAAAGCCCAAGUCUAGGGAGAAGGCUCAGAAGAAAAUCCCAUCUUCAGCCCCUUCUCAUUUAGAGACUUAUUCUGAGGCGGAGAGGCAGAGGGGAAGGAGUGAAAUGGGAUGCAACACUGGUUUAUUCACAAUAAGCUGGCUUUCAUGAUCCACAGAGGUGAGUUUGAGGGUUGUAAUGUAAAGGGCCACUUAUUUUUUUUAUUUUUUAUUUUUUUAUUGGUACCGGGGAUCAAACUCAGGACCUUGCGUGUGUGAGGCAGGCAGCGGAACCACUGAGCUAAAUCCCCGGCCCUAUUUACUUAUUUUUAAUGAUCAGUUAUAAGCAACUCAGAAGGCAAACUCCUCUUCUUUUUUGUCUCCUGUAACUUCUCACCGUGCUCCCUCCAAGGGCAGCAGGUGAGUGCUGGGGUCCUGCCCUCCUAGAUCCAAUGUUCUCCAGACACCUCCGUAGACACUUGUAAGUCGAGAGCCGAAUCCUCUGCCAGACAUGUUUCCCUUGUCAAAUUGUCCCUGUCCCACCCCACCGACAUCGAUAGUCCUGGGAACUGAUUCCGAAGACAACCUGCAUUGAACUUCUAGAUAGGCCCUGAUGCUGUGGAAUUCUGCUCCCCGCAGCCCUCCCCUUCCCGAGAGGUGUGGGAUGCACACACCACAGUAGGGUUCAAGCCUUCCCGAGGAGCACUGAAGCUUGCUUGCAGGAACAGCAAUUGGAAUGGCUGUUUUAAGUGAAGUUUACCGUUGCUGUAUAAACCUUCAUUUAAAAUGGACUAGAAAAUGUUUCUGAACCUGCCAAACACACAUUAAAAUAUUUUGCUCCAUUUAUGCCCAUGUGUAACAUUUGGUUUCUAAAGAGCUUUAAUCAGUAAUCUUCAAGUAGGAAGUUAUUCAUCUUUAUUGCCAGUCGGUUCUCAGUGGUGGUCGCGGCAACAAUCUUUUUAUUGCUUCUGUGUUUAGUUGUUCUUUGACAUGAUAGAAGUCAGCUGCAGUUCAAUGAGCUUACUAUUUGUGCAACUUAAUUGCUUGCUUCCUUCAAUACAUACUCAAUUUUUCUUUUUAUGAGCAGGGCUGUUGGAAAAAUUAAGCUUAAGGAUAUAGCCAUCCACUGUUAAUUAACCUCCUUCCCAAACACAUUAGUAAAAUAGGUCAAAUAACUGCUGAAUGGUAAGUGGACCGUUACCAAGGUCCUUCUCGGCUGAGAAGUGAAUUCUGUAUAAGUGAACAAGUACUGGAGCCUUGAGCAUUUUCUGGAAGCAGAGGUGACACAGAAUAAUGCUUUCUCACAACAAUUCCUCACCUCCCACACCAUCCGCUCCUGCCAGCAGAAUGCGUUGUUCGAUUUUAUCUGGCUCAACUGUGGAUUUAGCUUGUUUCAUUUGAUGAACAUGAAAAGAAAUAAAGAUUUUUCUUCUUUCUAAGUUAUGGCUUGUUUUAAGGGGUGAUUCUGCUUUUUCUUUCAAUAGAGACCACUGCUGCUAUUUUGAUUCAAAAGUCCUAGAAUGAUCUAAAUAUUGUGAGGAUGUAUAAAUGCUUAUAAUGAACAUAAAAAUAUUCUCAUGGAGGCACCUGACCUACCAGAAUAGAUUUAUAUAGAACUCUUAUAACUCCUCUGCCCUGGGUUACAUUCAGGUGGAAAAUCACUUUAAUUACAGUGAAGGGCUGAUUGGAGCUUUGCCAAC